GUUAAAGGAGAUAGAGAUGGGGAAUGCGGCAUACAAGGCUACAGUUUUACCUGAUUUGCUUGGUAAGUGGUUAAGUCUAAAUGUGAUCAUGUUUGAUUGCUGUGAAGAAAGCUUACUGUUCUCUCUUUGACUCAUCUCUCUAUAUGUGCCUUUUUGGUCUUGCAAAGGUUUUUCUCACACAUUUUCAAUUAUCAAAUUUGAUUCAAAUUUGAUUUUUUUUUUGUCUUCUAGCUGUCUCAUUAAAAGGUCAAGUCUGAUACAAAAACUCACAGUUGCUGGUAUCAUUGGCAACUUCAUUCAGAUUUGAC
rnacentral:lncRNA from 1 species